GGGACUGAACUUGGGCCCCCUGCGUUGGGAGCACAGAGUCUUAGCCAGUGGACCACCACUAGUGUGCAUAUGAGGACUUCCCAGCUGGAACAGAGGUAAAGAAUCUACCUGCCAAUGCAAGAGACUCAAGAAAUACAGUUUCAAUCCCUGUGUUGGGAAGAUCCCCUGGAGAAAUCAAUGGCAACCCACCAUGGUAUUCUUGCCUGGAUAACCCCACAGACAGAGGAGCCUGGUGGGCUAUAGUCCAUGGAGUCAUAAAGAGUUGAACACAACUGAGCAACUGAGCACACACACGUUACCCCUGGAGAAGGAAAUGGCAACCCACUUCAGUGUUCUUGCCUGGAGAAUCCCAGGGACGGGGGAGCCUGGUGUGCUGCCAUCUAUGGGGUCACACAGAGUCGGACAUGACUGAAGUGACUUAGCAGCAGCAGCAGCAGAAGAUGGCCUUGCCCACCAGAACAAGACCCAGUUUUCCCCACAGCCAGUCUCACCCAUCAGGAAGCUUGCACAAGCCUCUUAUCCUCAUUCAUCAGAGGGCAGACAGAGUGAAAACUACAGUCAGAGAAAACUAACCAAAUUGAUCACAUGGACCACAACCUUGCCUGACUCAAUGAAACUAUAAGCCAUGCCAUGUAGGGCCACCCAAGACGGAUGGGUCAUGGUGGAGAGUUCUGACAAAACAUGGUCCACUGGAGAAGGGAAUGGCAAACCACUUCAGCAUUCUUCCCUUGAGAACCCCAUGAACAGUAUGAAAAACACUAGCCAUACGUAAUCUAUCAGCACUAUCCCUUCAACAAUAUCUGUAUGAAUUUAUGCUAACCUGU
ensembl:lncRNA